UUUUGGACAAUGGGGGCAACCCUGAUCCAGCCAUUCCGCGUGAGCGAAGAAGGCCUUCGGGUUGUAAAGCUCUUUCGCAAGGGACGCCCCCGUUACCGGUGAAUAUCCGGUGAUAAUGACGGUACCUUGAUAAGAAGCACCGGCUAACUACGUGCCAGCAGCCGCGGUAAUACGUAGGGUGCGAGCGUUAAUCGGAAUUACUGGGCGUAAAGCGUGCGCAGGCUGUUUUGUAAGUCAGAUGUGAAAUCCCCGAGCUCAACUUGGGAACUGCGUUUGAAACUACAAGACUAGAAUAGGUCAGAGGGGGGUAGAAUUCCACGUGUAGCAGUGAAAUGCGUAGAGAUGGGAGGAAUAUCAGGGCGAAGGGGCCCCCGGGCCCCGUUACGCUCUGCAGAGGG
rnacentral:rRNA from 1 species